UUCAAUAAUUCUUAUCAUUCUCAAGAAAAUGUGGGUGGUACGACUUAUUUUUACCUUGGGAAUGCUGCCAGCGAGUCUGUGGGAACGGAGGAAGGAACUGAAACUAUUGGAACUGCAGGAACAAGUCAGAUAGGAUACGUCUAUCCGGGCACGCCCUCGCAUCUGCAACCUGUGAAACCAGCGAAACCUCCAUCGUCCAAUAACUCGUCAGCUCCGUCGACU